UAGCCGUAAACGAUACUCGCUAGGUGUCGGCCACGGUGCGACCGUUGUCGGUGCCGUAGGGAAGCCGUGAAGCGAGCCACCUGGGAAGUACGGCCGCAAGGCUGAAACUUAAAGGAAUUGGCGGGGGAGCACAACAACGGGUGGAGCUUGCGGUUUAAUUGGACUCAACGCCGGGAAGCUCACCGGAUAAGACAGCGGAAUGAUUGCCGGGCUGAAGACUCUGCAUGACUAGCUAGAGAGGAGGUGCAUGGCGUAGACGUC
rnacentral:rRNA from 1 species